rnacentral:rRNA from 1 species
UACGGAGGGUGCAAGCGUUAUCCGGAUUCAUUGGGUUUAAAGGGUGCGCAGGCGGUUUAUUAAGUCAUCGGUGAAAAACCUUAGCUUAACUAGGGAGUAGCUGAUGAAACUGGUUGACUAGAGACAUAUUGAGGUAAGCGGAAUUUAGGGUGUAGCGGUGAAAUGCUUAGAUAUCCUAAGGAACUCCGAUAGCGAAGGCAGCUUACUGGGUAUGAUCUGACGCUGAGGCACGAAAGCGUGGGUAUCAAACAGG